UUGAACGCUGGCGGCAGGCCUAACACAUGCAAGUCGCACGGUAGCACAGAGAGCUUGCUCUCGGGUGACGAGUGGCGGACGGGUGAGUAAUGUCUGGGAAACUGCCCGAUGGAGGGGGAUAACUACUGGAAACGGUAGCUAAUACCGCAUAAUGUCGCAAGACCAACGAGGGGGACCUUCGGGCCUCUUGCCGUCGGAUGUGCCCAGAUGGGAUUAGCUUGUUGGUGAGGUAAUGGCUCACCAAGGCGACGAUCCCUAGCUGGUCUGAGAGGAUGACCAGCCACACUGGAACUGAGACACGGUCCAGACUCCUACGGGAGGCAGCAGUGGGGAAUAUUGCACAAUGGGCGCAAGCCUGAUGCAGCCAUGCCGCGUGUGUGAAGAAGGCCUUCGGGUUGUAAAGCACUUUCAGCGGGGAGGAAGGCGAUACGGUUAAUAACCGUGUUGAUUGACGUUACCCGCAGAAGAAGCACCGGCUAACUCCGUG
rnacentral:rRNA from 1 species